rnacentral:lncRNA from 1 species
UGUAGGAAAUUUAAAGGGGAUUUAUUUGUUUUGAUUGUGGUUUGGUAGGUGACUUAGUUGCUUGAAAAUGGUUAAGUUGGGCGAUUUUAAAGGAGAUUUUUUUAUUUUGAAUGUGGUUUGGUAGGUGAUUAAGUCACUUGAAUAUGGUUAAGUCUAGGGUCUUUAUAGAGGAUUUUUUUCAUUCUGAAUGUAGUUUUGUUUUGAUACUUUGUCGGUUGAAAAUGGUUAAAUGUAGGGACUUUAAAGAGGAAUUUUCAGUUUUGAAUGUGGUUUGGUGGGUGACUUUGUUAGUUGAAUAUGAUUAAGUUUAGGAACUUUAAAGGGGAUUUUUUUGUGUUGAAUGUGGUUUUGUUUUGUUUCUUAGUUGGUUUAAAAUGGUUAAGUGUAGGGACUUCAAAGAAGAUUUUUUUGUUUUUGAAUAUGGUUUGGUAGGUGAAUUAGUUGCUUGAAAAUGGUUAAGUUUAGGGACUUUGAGGAGGAUUUUUUUAUUUUGAAUGUGGUUUUGUUUUGAUUUUUAGUUGGUUGAAAAUGGUUAAGUGUAGAGAAUUUAAAGAGGAUUUUUUUUUUUUGAAUGUGGUUUGGUAGGUGACUUAGUUGUUUGAAAAUGGUUAAGUUUAGGGACUUUAAAGGGGAUUUUUUUAUUUUAAAUGUGGUUAGGUAGGUGAAUUAAUCACUUUAAUAUGAUUAAGUUUAGGAACUUUGAAGGGGAUUGUUUUGUUUUCAAUGUGGUUUUACUUUGAUACUUAGUUGGUUGAAAAAAGUUAAGUGUAGGGGCUUUAAAGGUGAUUUUUUUUGUUUUGAAUGUGGUUUGAUAGGUGACUUAGUUUCUUGAAAAUGGUUCAGUUUAGGGACUUUAAAUGGGAUUUUUUUGUUUUUAAUAUGGUUAGGUAGGUAACUUAGUCAGUUGAAUAUAGUUAAGUUUAGGAACUUUGAAGGUGAUUUUUUUGUAAUGAACGUGGUUUUGUUUUAAUACUUAGUUGGUUGAAAAUAGUUAAGUGUAGCGACUUUAAAGGAAAUUUUUUUUUGUUAUGCAUGUGGUUUGAUAGGUGACUUAGUUGCUUGAAAAUGGUUAAGUUAAGGGACUUUUAACGGGAUUUUUUCGUUUUGAAUGUGGUUUGGUAGGUGACUUAUUUGCUUGUAUAUGGUUAAGUAUAGGGACUUUAAAGAGAUUUUUUUCGUUUUAAAUGUGGUUUUGUUUUGAUACUUAGUUGGUUGAAAAUAGUUAAGUGUUUGGACUUUGAAGGAGAUUUUUUUGUUUUGAAUGUGAUUUUGUGAGUGACUUAGUUGUUUAAAAAUGGUUAAGUUUAGGGACUUUAAAGGGGAUUUUUUUGUUUUGAAUAUGGUUUAUUAGGAGACUUAAUUGUUUAAA